UCGAAGCACGUUUCUGGCAUUUCUCGCAGAUGCGUUUUCACCUAAUUCGUUUAAAUCAUUAAUGAAAUGAAUCUUAAACUGGUGUCUAUUGUUUAUAUAUUCUGCAUCUGCGGUAUUAGCUGCACUGAAAGCAAUGAAGACACUUCCAUCCUGCCAGAAGGCUUUGUGGAUGCCACGCAGAGAUCGACGCACACUAAUAACUGGGCAGUGCUGGUGGAUGCGUCCCGGUUCUGGUUCAAUUAUCGGCAUGUAGCCAACGUCCUGUCCAUCUAUCGGUCUGUGAAGCGCCUCGGCAUUCCCGACUCGCAGAUCAUCCUAAUGAUAGCAGACGAUAUGGCCUGCAACGCCCGCAAUCCGCGUCCCGGCCAGGUCUAUAACAACGCCAACCAGCAUAUCAACGUCUACGGCGACGACGUGGAGGUAGACUAUCGCGGCUACGAGGUGACCGUGGAGAACUUUGUCCGCCUCCUCACUGGGCGCACCCAGAACGGUACGGCGCGCUCUAAGAAGCUGCUCUCCGAUGCCGGCAGCAAUGUUCUCAUCUACCUCACGGGACAUGGCGGCGAUGGUUUCCUGAAGUUCCAGGACUCGGAGGAGAUAACCAGCCAGGAGUUGGCCGACGGCAUCCAGCAGAUGUGGGAGAAGAAACGCUACAAUGAGCUCUUCUUCAUGGUGGACACUUGCCAGGCGGCCUCGUUAUACGAGAAGUUCAAUUCGCCCAAUGUCCUGGCUGUGGCCAGCAGCCUGGUGGGGCAGGAUUCGCUCUCGCAUCAUGUGGAUCCUUCGAUUGGUGUGUACAUGAUCGACCGCUAUACCUACUAUGCCCUGGAGUUCCUGGAGAAGGUACAGCCGUUCAGCACGCGCACCAUUGGCGAUUUCCUGCAAGUGUGCCCCAAGCGUGUCUGCAUCUCAACUGUUGGCGUGCGCAAGGACCUCUACCGCCGCGAUCCCCAUAAAGUGCCCAUAACGGACUUCUUUGGCGCCAUCCGGCCCACACGCGUCUCCACGGACCGCAUCAAUGUGACGCUGGCCAACGAGAGUGAUUUUAUUGCCGAUCCGGACGAGAUUUCUGCGACCAAGAGGCCGUUCAAGAUCAUAAUGGAGCCCCAGUUUCCGUCCGAAUUUUUCAAAUAAAGUGAGUGGUGGGCGAAUCGGGAGACCAGCAAGCAGAUCCAACAGAUUCGACAGAUCCCAACAGGCAGAUCCAUCACUCAUGUGAUAAUAUUAAUUUAUUCUUUCAGGUUCCUUCCAAUGAAAUAAACCAAACCAAAAACAGCACUAUGGCUUGGACUGCAUCUGCAUCUGCAUGAGAGUGCACUGGAUCAACUACUCACGACUGACUCACUCACGCCCAUCUGGCCCAGCAAUUUCUAGACAUAUUUCGGUGUAUGCUUUUUAGGGCGGUCGAGUGCUGAGUCGAGUUGCGUCUCUGAGGAGGAACUACCAUGGGAAGCAGAUAUCUGUGGAUAACAGAUCUAAGAAUAGUGCAGCAUUAUUAUUUGUAAGAUCUCCCCUUGUAUGUACAUAUGACGAGCAUCGGCAUUCCCCAAAUAAUCGGAAAGACAAACAUACUAAAGUA